rnacentral:rRNA from 1 species
UACGUAGGGGGCAAGCGUUGUCCGGAUUUAUUGGGCGUAAAGAGCGUGUAGGCGGCCAUGCAGGUCCGUUGUGAAAACUCGAGGCUCAACCUCGAGACGUCGAUGGAAACCUCAUGGCUAGAGUCCGGAAGAGGAGAGCGGAAUUCCUGGUGUAGCGGUGAAAUGCGCAGAUAUCAGGAAGAACACCCGUGGCGAAGGCGGCUCUCUGGGACGGUACUGACGCUGAGACGCGAAAGCGUGGGGAGCGAACAGG